GUCGAACGCUGGCGGCGUGCUUAACACAUGCAAGUCGAACGAAGUGGCGAACGGGUGAGUAACGCGUAAUCAACCUGCCCUUCAAAGGGGGACAACAGGUGGAACCGACUGCUACUACCGACUACUGAAGACGGAGAUUGCGUCUGAUUAGGUGGUUGGGGGGGUAACGGCCAACCAAGGCGAUGAUCAGUCGCCGGUCUGAGAGGAUGAACGGCCACAUUGGGACCGAGACACGGCCCAGACUCCUACGGGAGGCAGGAGUGGGGAAUCUUCCGGAAUGGACGAAAGUCUGACGGAGCAACGCCGGGUGAGUGAUGACGGCCUUCGGGUUGUAAAGCUCGUUUAAUCGGGACGCGGUACCGGAAUAGAAAGCAACGGCUAACUACGUGCCAGCCGCCGCGGUAAUAC
rnacentral:rRNA from 1 species